rnacentral:rRNA from 1 species
UACGAGUGCCCCGAGCGUUAUCCGGAAUCAUUGGGCGUAAAGGGUGUGUAGGUGGUUGUGUUAGUCGUUUGUUAAAACCUGGGGCUUAACCCCAGUCAUGCGAACGAAACGGCACGACUAGAGGAUGGCAGGGAUGUAUGGAACUCAUGGAGUAGGGGUGAAAUCCGUUGAUAUCAUGGGGGAACACCAAAAGCGAAGGCAGUACAUUGGGCCACUCCUGACACUGAAACACGAAAGCGUGGGUAGCGAAUGGG